rnacentral:rRNA from 1 species
UACGUAGGGACCAAGCGUUGUUCGGAUUUACUGGGUGUAAAGGGCGCGUAGGCGGCAAUUCAAGUCAGCUGUGAAAUCUCCGGGCUUAACUCGGAACGGUCAGCUGAUACUGCUUUGCUAGAGUGCAGAAGGGGCAAUCGGAAUUCUUGGUGUAGCGGUGAAAUGCGUAGAUAUCAAGAGGAACACCUGAGGUGAAGACGGGUUGCUGGGCUGACACUGACGCUGAGGCGCGAAAGCGUGGGGAGCGAACAGG